UUUUGUCUGGCAGAUGGUGGUUCUUGCACUGAACUGCAACAGCAAUUGCUGAGGUUGAAACCCUGCUUCUCUCCCAUAUAGUUCCAGAACACCUGGCAGGUGAAAAGUUAGCUACUUCACAUCAGAGAACAUCAAAAAGCACUCCUUCUGGUCAUUUGACUUGACCCGUAAAUCUACUGCUAGCAAUAACAUGGGAAGAUAACUGCCAUUGAUAUAAUCACUGUGAAGACAGACUGAGGGCAGAAGAAAUUAAACCAGUUGGGUGAAUUAGCUCAGCAGGUGACGAUUCACAGAAGAGUCUUGAUCUACUUUUUCCACCAACUGUAUGUGCAUAA